GUCUUAAUCUGCUACCCAUCAUGAGAUAGUUUCAAAACCAGCAUGUGAGCAGUGAUGGAAGCUUUUCCUGAACUGCUUUUGUUAUAAGGGUUAAUAGCUGAGCAUUGGCCAAUGGGCACAGAGAAGAACAUGCCAGCAAUUCAGAGUCGAGCCCAAGAAAAGAGGGCUUUGUCCUGAUCCAGAAGAGAUAAUACAAAAAGAAGGAACCUUGCACAGAGGACCAUUUGGAAUGUUGGAAGCAAGGACAGCAGUGACAGUUGGAAGGAGCAAGGUGGAUUGUGGGAAAUAGAACUUUGGAGGGGGUCUUUUGCUCAUUGUACUCUGAGGAGAUGGGAGUGGAAGACCAGAGCUUGGGACCCCAAAACCUGAGUUACCAAGACUUGCUUCUAUUUCCCCUUGCACUGAAAGACAGAAAGAUUCCUGACAUCAUUGAAUCAAUGACCAAAGGAGCAGAGACACCAUCAGGUUCCUUCCUACACUGCUAUCUCUUUCCUGAGGUCACAAAACACUGGCAACAGGAUUAUGGGACCCAAAUAUAGCAAAGAAUCUGACUUGGACAGGAACCCAGAGACCAUUGAUGGUCUAAUCCAUACCUGACCAAGAAUUCCCUCUGCAGCACAUGUGACAAGGGACCAUUAGACUUCUGCUUGAAGGGGAAACCAGCACCUCCUAAGGCAAUGCUUUCCUAUUAUGGACAGCUCCAGGUGAGAGAGCUCCACUCAUAUUUGGGGACUACCAUAUAGCUUUUGUCCUGCUUCGAGUGUUUCCAUGUCAUCCCAAGAAUCUGCCUGUUUGGAUCUAUGCCCAGUAAUCCAUGUCAUUUCUCUGUGUUCUGUCAAGAAUAAUAAUAGUUUGUUGCAUUUUAAAAAAUCUAUUAUUCCAUGCUUAAACACCAAAACACAAAAAACACCUUUCCAUAGGCAUAGAACAAUAGAAAAAAUGAUUGUAUAAAAUAUGAAAAUCUCCAUGACAGAUAGCAUUUUUAGGAUGAUUAAUAAAUUGACGGUGUU
rnacentral:lncRNA from 1 species